AGAUAAAGCAAAUGAUAAGGCCCUGAGUGUCUUGCUGAAACCAGAGAAGCAAGGUUAGGAUUUGGUGUAAGGAUGGCAUGAAACAUGAGUAGGCAUUGUGUGGAUAUAAGAAUAAGUUUUAUCACCACACCAGCCAAGGCUAAGAAGAAAGGAAGUUUCUGAACAUGGCUGGGGAGAGGAGGGAACUGUGCCCCUCACACCAUCUCCCUGACCUUGGCUGCAGCACACUCCCAGCCCGAGCAGAGCACGCUUUUGCUGGAGCUCUUGCUUUGAAGAAAUGCACCGGACUCUGAGAUGAUUGUGAAUGCAGAGCAUGACCCAUUUUAAACAGAUUUUGUCUGGAAGGAAUGGAGAAUCUGAGGACUUUCUUCACCUUUGUGUGGGAUUUCUGGGAGUCCAGUGGCCCAGCUGGAAGUACUAUGCAACAGCAACCCCAGGUUAUUCAGUGUCCAGAACCCCCACGCAUUUCCACAGCAUCUGCACAGAUCAGCUGCAGAGAGUCUGCAGCAAGUCCAACACUUCCCGGAAGUGUCAGAGGGGCUUGUGAUGCAUGUUGGAAUCAGCUGUGAAGCCAUGGCAGAGUAAAUUCGACAUUUCCCAAAGCACUGGAUUUGUGGUGCACAUGCACACCAUCUGUGCAACCCAGAUGAUCUUCUGGCAUCACCUUGUUGCAUUUUCUCUCGACAAUAUCUUUGCCAGCCUUCUGCAGAAAGACAUAUAGCAGCUCUGGACUAGAAAAGGAGCCCAAGGAAAAAGAUCUGAUAUGAACCCUGACCACCAUUUCUGUUCUAAUUAGGAAUAAAUUUCUGAACUUGCCUCCUCACAGCUAAGAUGCUAAUCUAUGUGGACCCAGACGUGCUAGGAGCUGCAGUCUAAAGAUCCCACGCUGGCACUAUGCAAGGAAGCUGUUGGUAUGAAGGCUGCAAAAUAUAUCCCUCUGGGAAUCUGUUUGGGAGGGGUAGGGGAUGUUCAGCUGCUGGAUAUGAACAGAAAGAAAAGGUUACUAAGUUUUACUUUUGUUAGAAAGUAAAAUGCAGCAGAAUCUGAUUUCUGGUGGACAUCAGGAUGAAAAGGAAGAUGCAACCAAACCUUUCUAGCCCCUUGCUUCUGAAAUAACUCAAAAAAACUAUUUAAAGAGAGAAGGAACUGCUGUACUUUUAAUCAUCACCAGCAGGUCUUUAACCUCACAGGAAACAGAAAAGGAAGGACAGAUUGUAAAAUAUCCAGACAGACUAAAGGUCAUUCUUCUUUCCCUUGGGAGGAAACAUUGCAUCUCGCCUUAAGGACAAAUAUGCAUCUACUAUAUACAUGCUGUCACACAGAACAUCCACAUCUCUUCACUGUCACUCGAUAGUGGCACACCAAGUUUACAUUUGAAAAUAGAGAUAGGCAUGGCAGCGGUAAGCAAGCGACGUGCUAGACAAAGGAAAAAUCCAAGACACUUCCCCACAAUGACAGAAGGAUUGACCCAACCAGACGUAUUUAGUGGCUGUGCAGUAAAAUUAUGUACUUUACAUCAAAAAGUUACUUUUGUGGAGCCUAAGUUGAGAGGUAGAAAUUUGAUCUGAUGAAGCAGUCUAGAGCAGACGGUGCUUCUUAGAAGAGCUCACCAGUUCUUCCCUUCAUGGGUUUUGGGCAGCUCACAAAGCCUGUGGGAUGCACAACGACAGCCCAGGGCUGACCAGGCUGGCUGGGAUGGUCACAGGAGGCUGAGGGGCAAUCAAACAUGUGCCACCUCUUUUCAUUGGAGUAAAACACCUUGGCUGAAGGACAGCUGGACACUCUCCUGCCUGAAUACAUUCCUUCACAUACAGAGAAUUUCUUUAGGUUCUUGCAGUCAUUUUGCAGCAUCCAUCCUAAUCCCUGCCAGGGGAUCCUGGCUGACAGUAAGGCUGCAGAGCUACCACUGUUGAUAAUUGGCACAUUAAGAUGAGACCUUUUUCCUCUUGAAAGCCUGAGGGCCAACAAGGGGCGGGGGUACUCAGAGCCCAGUGCUCAUUCCCUCAGGACUCCAGGGCAGAAGAGAUCACUUCACUGAGCACUCUACAGGGCUGUUGGGAUCUGCUUGCCCUUCCCAGGCCACUGUGUCGCUCAGGGGACCAGAAGGGCUCCCACUUUUCAUAGCUAGGAGCACAGAAGGGGAGAUUUUCAUCUCCAGCUCUUUGUGCCUCCAGAGGGAGAGUGGAGACAGGGCUUCCAGCAGCACAUCAUUGCUGCUAAUGAGAAAGCAGAAGGGGAGCUGCGGGCAGAAAGGAAGAGGUUGAACAAAUGGAUGGCUCUUGCUGCAGUGUUUCAGGACCUGCCACUUAAGUCUUACAUGCUGGUAAUCUCCUUAAACAGCAGGAAAAAAA
rnacentral:lncRNA from 1 species